ACCAUUGGGGAAUGCAUAUAUGAA
rnacentral:siRNA from 1 species